rnacentral:lncRNA from 1 species
CAUUUUUGGAGACACUGCAGCAGAUUUGGUUUUUCUCAGAGCACUUCUGCAGCUGCUGAAUGCUUGCAGGCACAGGGGUCUCCUGCUUUUCAGACUUUUCCACUACUCCCUUUUCUAUCUUUGAUGCUAAAAGCAGAAUGGACUGAGAGAUGCCUUGGACAUAAGUGAUUUCACAUCUGUAACUAUAUCCUGCAAACAUUUGUAGACACAUCUUGGGAAAGAAGCACUCAUGCUUGCAUCUGUUUCCAACAUCUGUGCAUUUAAGUCAGCAACAAAAGUCACCAGGCAUUUGAGCUUUCCCUGCUAUAAUGUUUCUGAUUUACCUUGACAGCGUGAGUAAUCCAAUCAAAGACAAUAUUCCUCUUGAUUUCAGUAAUGAGAGAGACUACACUUAUCUGAAACCUGUGUUACAUUCAUCUCACCAAUACAGUACUAAUGAAAAGGACAAAUAACUGAGUCUCUCUUGGUGGCCUGCAUGCAACUGCUUAAAUACAUAAGUGCAUAGCAACAAUAUGUGAAUAACAUAUAAAAAUAAAUAUGUUCAAGUGCAGCAGGGUGAGUGG